UGGGGAAUCUUGCGCAAUGGGCGAAAGCCUGACGCAGCAACGCCGCGUGGGGGGAUGAAGGCCUUCGGGUUGUAAACCUCUUCACCAUCGACGAAGCCCUUUGGGGUGACGGUAGGUGGGGAAGAAGCACCGGCUAACUACGUGCCAGCAGCCGCGGUAAUACGUAGGGUGCGAGCGUUGUCCGGAUUUAUUGGGCGUAAAGAGCUCGUAGGCGGUUUGUCGCGUCGGCCGUGAAAAACCUACAGCUUAACUGUGGGCUUGCGGUCGAUACGGGCAGACUUGAGUUCGGCAGGGGAGACUGGAAUUCCUGGUGUAGCGGUGAAAUGCGCAGAUAUCAGGAGGAACACCGGUGGCGAAGGCGGGUCUCUGGACUGUAACUGACGUUGAGGCUCGAAAGCGUGGGGAGCAAAACAGGAUUAGAUACC
rnacentral:rRNA from 1 species